rnacentral:misc_RNA from 1 species
GUGAAUCAUCGAAUUUUUGAACGCAAAUUGCGCUUCCUGGCAUCCCGGGAAGUAUGCCUGUUUGAGGGUCAGUAUUAACAAAAAAUCGGUUUGGUUGCAAAUUGUGACGUUUCCGGAGUUUGGGCUAUCUUAACUUUUUUGGUUAAGGGGCUUACAAUUGACCUUAUUUGCGCAUUUUUAGACGUACAUAAAUUUUUUUUUUUUAAUUCCCUUUUUCUAAAUCCAAAAUCCUGUUUAUAGCGGACA